GACGCCGGUGGCGGGGACGGUCCCAGAACUCAAGACACGGGGAGAAAGCACCACACCAAACCCCACCCCUCCCGCCCCGUGACGCACACUCACUCGCUUGAGUGAAUAUGCCCAACUUGGCUGGCUUCGGGGCGGGUUGCCUGAUCUACGCUCAGUGCGACAGACCACACACCGCUGACAUGCGUCGGCCCCCGCCGGGACUGCAAUCCCGGUGCGGGGGCCUGACCACCGAGGAAGUAGGCGCUUCCCA
rnacentral:ncRNA from 1 species